UUACAGUAAUACCCUUUCAUGAGUUAAAUGAUGCUAUUAAUUUAGGGUUUAUAAAAAAUCUUAUGGUUAACUGAUAGAGCAAAAGAAAAUUGUUUUUGCGUCAAACAAACAAACAAACGACAGACGAGCAAACAUUUUUAAGCCCGACUACUUUUACCUUUCACUCUCACCUUACACUUGGUCUGUAGAGAGAGUUAUGACGUUCGUUUAGAAGCCGAAGCAAGUCUCUGCGAACCUAAGUAAUGUGACCUUCACAAGGCAAUUAGCUGCUGGAGGAUAAACCACAAAACCAAUUGCGAAUAGAUAUAUUUAUAUUUUUAAUAUAUUUGUUUUUUUUUAUUCUCUUUCUGA